ensembl:lncRNA
AUGACAACUGCUCCAUCUGGCCAGUCAAGCAAUACAGUUCACACUGAUUUAUCAAGCACAUCCAUUUCUCCUGCUAUUUCAAACAAUGUUCUUUCUACAGAUGUAUCAGUCACAACUGCCCCUGAUGGUCUUUCAAGCACCACAGACCACAGUGAUCCAUCGAACACAGCUGCUUCCAAUCAGUUUUCGAACAAUGCUGACAACCAACUAAGCACAACUGUCCACACUAGAACUUCGACCACUGUGGUUCCUAGUGAUCUGUCAAACACAACCAUUUCUUAUGGUCCCGCCAUCAGUAAAGAUCCUUUGGAUUCACCAAAGACAACUGUUUCUGAUGGCUCCACAACCAUUGCAGUUCCUAGUGAUCUGUCAAGCACAACUGUAUCUCCAGGCCUUUCAAGCAAAGCAGUUCUAUCCAGUCUGUUAACCACAACAGUUCCUACUAGUCCCACAAGCACGGCUGUUGCUACUGAUCCGUCAAACAGAAGUGUUCCUAAAGAUGAUUCAGACAUCUCAGGUCGUACCGAUCAGUUAAGCACAACUAUAGCUAUCGGUCCCUCAGCUACUACAGUUCCUAAAGAUCUUUCAGACAGAACCGUUGUUUCAGGCCCUUCAACCUCCCCAGUGCCUACUUAUCAGUCAAGCACAGUGGCUCCUCAUGCUACUGUAACCACCACUGUCUCUACUGAUGUGUCAAGCACGACUGUACCCAAUCAUCUUUCAGAUAGUACAAUUCCCAACAUUACAUCACUCACAACUACUCCAUCUGGCCAAUCAAGCAGUGCAGUUCACACCGAUUUAUCGAGUACAACCAUUUCUACUGCUAUUUCAAACAACGGACGUUCUACGCAUGUAUCAAUCACAGCUGCUCCUAAUAGUCCUUCAAGCACCCCAGGCCACACCGAUGCAUCAAGCACAAGCACUCCUGAUUAUUUUUCAAACAAAGCAUUCCCUACUGAUCAACCAAGCACAACCGUUCAUACUGGAACUUUUACCACUGCAGUUUCUUCUGGUCUGUCAAGCACAACUGCUUCUAAUGGUUCUGUCAAAACUAAAGAUGCUUUGAGUUCAUCAAAGACUUCUGUUCCUGAUGGUUCCACAACUGCUGAGGUUCCUACUGCUCAGGCAAGCACAAGUGUUCUGACAGGCCCUUCAGCCUCUACAAAUCCUACUUAUCAAUCGAGCACAAUUGUUCCCCAUGGUACUAUAAACACCGAUGAGGCUACUGAUCUGUCAAGCAUACCUGUACCUAAUCAUCUUUCAGAUACUUCAGUUUCAAACAAUAUAUCAAUGACAACUGCUCCAUCUGGCCAGUCAAGCAAUACAGUUCACACUGAUUUAUCAAGCACAUCCAUUUCUCCUGCUAUUUCAAACAAUGUUCUUUCUACAGAUGUAUCAGUCACAACUGCCCCUGAUGGUCUUUCAAGCACCACAGACCACAGUGAUCCAUCGAACACAGCUGCUUCCAAUCAGUUUUCGAACAAUGCUGACAACCAACUAAGCACAACUGUCCACACUGGAACUUCGACCACUGUGGUUCCUAGUGAUCUGUCAAACACAACCAUUUCUUAUGGUCCCGCCAUCAGUAAAGAUCCUUUGGAUUCACCAAAGACAACUGUUUCUGAUGGCUCCACAACCAUUGCAGUUCCUAGUGAUCUGUCAAGCACAACUGUAUCUCCAGGCCUUUCAAGCAAAGCAGUUCUAUCCAGUCUGUUAACCACAACAGUUCCUACUAGUCCCACAAGCACGGCUGUUGCUACUGAUCCGUCAAACAGAAGUGUUCCUAAAGAUGAUUCAGACAUCUCAGGUCGUACCGAUCAGUUAAGCACAACUAUAGCUAUCGGUCCCUCAGCUACUACAGUUCCUAAAGAUCUUUCAGACAGAACCGUUGUUUCAGGCCCUUCAACCUCCCCAGUGCCUACUUAUCAGUCAAGCACAGUGGCUCCUCAUGCUACUGUAACCGCCACUGUCUCUACUGAUGUGUCAAGCACGACUGUACCCAAUCAUCUUUCAGAUAGUACAAUUCCCAACAUUACAUCACUCACAACUACUCCAUCUGGCCAAUCAAGCAGUGCAGUUCCCACCGAUUUAUCGAGUACAACCAUUUCUACUGCUAUUUCAAACAACGGACGUUCUACGCAUGUAUCAAUCACAGCUGCUCCUAAUAGUCCUUCAAGCACCCCAGGCCACACCGAUGCAUCAAGCACAAGCACUCCUGAUUAUUUUUCAAACAAAGCAUUCCCUACUGAUCAACCAAGCACAACCGUUCAUACUGGAACUUUUACCACUGCAGUUUCUUCUGGUCUGUCAAGCACAACUGCUUCUAAUGGUUCUGUCAAAACUAAAGAUGCUUUGAAUUCAUCAAAGACUUCUGUUCCUGAUGGUUCCACAACUGCUGAGGUUCCUACUGCUCAUGCAAGCACAAGUGUUCUGACAGGCCCUUCAGCCUCUACUUAUCAAUCGAGCACAAUUGUUCCCCAUGGUACUAUAAACACCGAUGAGGCUACUGAUCUGUCAAGCAUACCUGUACCUAAUCAUCUUUCAGAUACUUCAGUUUCAAACAAUAUAUCAAUGACAACUGCUCCAUCUGGCCAGUCAAGCAAUACAGUUCACACUGAUUUAUCAAGCACAUCCAUUUCUCCUGCUAUUUCAAACAAUGUUCUUUCUACAGAUGUAUCAGUCACAACUGCCCCUGAUGGUCUUUCAAGCACCACAGACCACAGUGAUCCAUCGAACACAGCUGCUUCCAAUCAGUUUUCGAACAAUGCUGACAACCAACUAAGCACAACUGUCCACACUGGAACUUCGACCACUGUGGUUCCUAGUGAUCUGUCAAACACAACCAUUUCUUAUGGUCCCGCCAUCAGUAAGGAUCCUUUGGAUUCACCAAAGACAACUGUUUCUGAUGGCUCCACAACCAUUGCAGUUCCUAGUGAUCUGUCAAGCACAACUGUAUCUCCAGGCCUUUCAAGCAAAGCAGUUCUAUCCAGUCUGUUAACCACAACAGUUCCUACUAGUCCCACAAGCACGGCUGUUGCUACUGAUCCGUCAAACAGAAGUGUUCCUAAAGAUGAUUCAGACAUCUCAGGUCGUACCGAUCAGUUAAGCACAACUAUAGCUAUCGGUCCCUCAGCUACUACAGUUCCUAAAGAUCUUUCAGACAGAACCGUUGUUUCAGGCCCUUCAACCUCCCCAGUGCCUACUUAUCAGUCAAGCACAGUUGUCCUCAUGUAUGUAACCACCACUGUCUCUACUGAUGUGUCAAGCACGACUGUACCCAAUCAUCUUUCAGAUACUUCAAUUUCAGCGAGUAUGUCAAUCACAAAUGCUCCAGCUGGCCAGUCAAGUAAUACAGUUCACACUGAUCCAUCAAGCACAAGCGCUCCUGAUCAUUUUUCAAACAAUGUAUUCCCUCAUGAUCAGCCAAGCUCAACUGUUAAUACUGAUAUUUUUUCCACUGCAGUUCCCUCAGAUCUGUCAAGCUCAACUGAUCCUUAUGGUCCUGUCACAACUAAAGAUGCUUUGAAUUCAUUAAGGACAUCUUUUCCUGAUGGUUCCACAAAUGCUGCAGUCCCAACCAAUCAAUCAAGCACAGCUGUUCCCACUGGAACUUUGAACACUGUGGUUCCUACUGAUCUGUCAAGCACAGCUGUACUGUCAGGCAUUUCAGCCUCCAGAGUGCCUACUUAUCAGUCAAGCACCGUUGUUUCUCAGGCUCUUAUAAAGACCACUGUCUCUACUGAUCUCUCAAGUGCAGCUGUACCUAAUCAUCUUUCUGAUUCUACAGUUUCCACCAGUACAUCAAUCACAACUGCCAAUGCUUCUGGCCAGUUAAGCUAUGCCGUUUACACUGAUUCAUCAAGCAUAAGUAUUUCCACUGGUAUUUCAAGCAAUAUACUUCAUACAUCAUCAACCACAGCUUCUCCUAAUCAUCCAUCUGGCUCUACAGUAUCUUUAUCCAGUUCAACUGCUAAUCAGAUCACCACAUCUGUAAUCCUUACGAACUCAACACACUCCAAUAUUUUCACCACCUCAACAACAUCUUUCCUGCCAACAAUGCAUUUAUCAACUAAAGCCUUCACAGGUUCAGCAGUGACAGGCGAGGGAUUUGUUAUUCUGCAUAUCCUUUUACAGAUGCAAUACAUUGAUGCUUACAAUAACCCUGCUUCCAUGGAAUACCAGACUCUGGCCAUAAACAUCACUACUGAGCUGAAUCGAUUCUUCCGGGAAAUUUAUGGGAUCCACUUCCUCAGAUGUUAUGUCCAGAGAUUCUGGCCUGAGCCAGUAGGUGUGGAUACAGAGCUUAUUUUUAAAAGCCAGACUGUGCUUCCAAAUACAACAAGCAUUGUAGACACUCUUAUGACAGCAAUCGUUGAAUUAAAAGUGUUCUUUGGUACGAUUCCUUUAAGUAUCACUGUUGUGGAACAGCAAGGCUUAACUUUGACCACCAGACAAACACAGUCAUCACAAAGUGUUCCUGUCAUGCCAACAUCUUCUGCUGUUGCACCAGUUUUAUCUAGUAUGCUGUUGAUGCUUUUCAUUCUACGGAAUGAAACACUUUAACUCUGCAAAGUUCUCCUCCAAGUGUCAUAUUAAAACCUGCAACUGACUCUGUUAUAUGCCAUGGUGAUACAUUAACAUUAAUUUUGGUGUAAUGGUAUGGAAAAACUGCAUAAUUAUUCAAAAAAUAAUAAUUUCAGGCAUUAUUAUUUUAUUUUAUUAUUAUUAUUUGCAUAUUGGUGGGGGGAACUUCUUGUGAUGUAACAAUAUCCACAAUAUUUGAGUCGACUUGAUUUUUCUCUUCUUGGAUGUUACAGUAGUAAUAAUAAUUAAAAUCUAAUUCUAAAAAAAAAAAGCUGAAGUGCAAGUCAAUGGUUUUGAGACACAUAUACACACACACAUACACUCACAUUUGUAUCGCUAUCUUAGUAAGGACAUUGCAUAGACUUCC